AAUUUUUUUAUCGACCUUUUCUUACGACUAAUUUUUCUAUUCUCUAUUUUCGUAUCGAUCGUUAAUUAUCGGCGGGCAACAACAAACAUCGGGACGGAUCCGUGUACGAGAGAUUGUAAUUAAUGAAGAAACGUUGGGGGGCGCGUACGUUUUUACUCGGGAUCGGUCGUUUCUCCUUUGACGACGUAGUUGCAGGUUGCGUAAAGUAGUCGUAAAAUGCAAAGCCGGCGGAUCAGAUCCGGCAGAAAAUGGUACGACGCCGACGCGCGACGUCCAACGCGCGACGCCCUCGACCCUCGAAUCUACGACGCGACGCGACGCGACGCGACGUCCCGCGAUUUUACCCCUACGGCGAACCUACGCGCGCAUCGCGCCCAGCUAAAAUUCAUCCGGCCCGCAAGAAGCUUAGCCCGCGCAUCCAUCGCCCCGCCGCUUGUACGCCGUAACAAUAAAAACCCAUUAAGCUCAACUCGAGCUCCGGAGCUUUGUCUAUUAGCUGCAAACAACAGUCUGUUUGCUAAAAUUUCUCUCUUAACGAGAUGAAAAACGGAUCCCGUGCCUCGAACGUUCCGUACGUGUGUUCGAAUAGGUACGUACGUACGAAACGUGACGCGCACUCCCACACAUGAAUCGAAAGUAGUAUUUCACCUGAACUGCGAUGCAGCUGAUUACUGACGCGAACAGUUUUUGUCGAAAAUCCCGACGAUGGUUCGAAGUUAUUUUUUGGUUUUCGUUCAUAUUUGAAAUUUGACCGACCCAAACGAUUUUCCGACCCUCUCCCUUGUUUAUUUCGUCUAUUUCGUUAUGUUUUUGGUUCUUUACGUUUCAUUGGCCGCGGAGCGAGUCACGAGGUCGAUCGGUCUCCGCCUAUUCGGACUCCUCUGCGUGAAUCGCCCUGUACAUCGGAGACGAGUUUCCACGACAAUAAGUGGCGCUAUAGACGAGAUUGCCCGAUGUCGCUUACCUCGCCCGCACCUCGUUCGUUCGGUGAUAAUUAUUAUCUCAAACUCGGUCUCCGUUCAAUUAAUCUUUCCAAGAUGAUAUAACGUCCUGGGUGCCAAGAACCUUUCCUUUAUUACGACUAUACCUGCGACGUGGCAGCGUCGACUUGGCCACCCUGGACGGUCAACUGCGUACUCCGCUCGCGGUGCGAUGUGAGACUCGCAAACAGAUGGAUGAAAAUACUGCGGAAAGCAAAAACGGAUACGUCUAACGCCCCGAAAUUCGGGAUAACGCAGGAAUCAUUUAUGGUAAACGGUCGUCCAGUUCUCGCCACCAUUCGUUCUCCUCACCGAUACCUAGACAAUAAAUUCCACGUUUCGUUCUCGAUUGAAAAUCGUAAUCGAAAACGGGAUUCUCCUGUUUUAUGCUCCUUGUUCAACUUUAUUUUACAUAUAAAUUUUUUUUCCUCUUCCGUUUUCCCCAUAUUUUCCGUAAGCCUCCCCGAAGCUAUAUAUAUAUACGUACGUACACAUACAUUGUUAUGUACGGUACGUAGGUACCGACACGUGUACGCGUACAUAAGGCGUGAAAUAACACCAUUUUUUCCACUGAAAAAUUUCAUAACGACUAGAAAAAACAAUUUCCUUAUAAGCACUAUACCGCAAAAUGUUUACCCUGUAUAGCAACAAUAACGAUAACGUUUAACUUUUUUCUUUUUUUUUUUUUUUUCUUCAAUAAAAGUACAGUAUAUACAACGCAACACAUCGACGACGGGUGUGCAUAUGUAUAUAUACCCAUGUAUUAUGUGUGUAUAUAAAUUCACCACGAUCCGGUACAUAGGUACGUACCGUGCGACGAUGUAUUAUGUACGACGUAACGUAGUUGUCGGUUGCCUCCCGAAGCGCACAUACUCGAA